rnacentral:rRNA from 1 species
AAAAAAUAACGAUACGGGACUCAUCCGAGGCCCCGUAAUCGGAAUGAGAACAUCCUAAAUCCUUUAACGAGGAUCUAUUGGAGGGCAAGUCUGGUGCCAGCAGCCGCGGUAAUUCCAGCUCCAAUAGCGUAUAUUAAAGUUGUUGCGGUUAAAAAGCUCGUAGUUGGUUCUGCGUGCCACGCUGUCGGUUCACCGCCUGUCGGUGCAACUGGCAUGCCGUGGCAUGUCCUGUCGGUGGCGUGCAGGCUUCGCGGCGCUCCCUGCAUGAUACGUUGUGUAGGUCGUCGAGUAGUCCUCGUACGCCGUCUCAAUCCUGCCGCGGUGCUCUUUACCGAGUGUCGAGGUAGGCCGGCACAUUUUACUUUGAACAAAUUAGAGUGCUUAAAGCAGGCUCUUAAAUCAGCCUGAAUAGUGGUGCAUGGAAUAAUGGAACAGGACCUUGGUUCUAUUUUGUUGGUUUUAGGAAUCCAAGGUAAUGAUCAAUAAGGACAGGCGGGGGCAUUCGUAUUGCGACGUUAGAGGUGAAAUUCUUGGAUCGUCGCAAGACGCACUAGAGCGAAAGCAUUUGCCAAGUAUGUCUUAAUUGAUCAAGAACGAAAGUUAGAGGUUCGAA